AACGAACGCUGNGCGGCAUGCUAACACAUGCAAGUCGAACGAGGGCUUCGGCCCUAGUGGCGCACGGGUGAGUAACGCGUGGGAACCUGCCCUGUGGUACGGAAUAACUCCGGGAAACUGGAGCUAAUACCGUAUGUGUCCUGCGGGACAAAGAUUUAUCGCCAUGGGAUGGGCCCGCGUAGGAUUAGCUUGUUGGUGGGGUAACGGCCUACCAAGGCAACGAUCCUUAGCUGGUCUGAGAGGAUGAUCAGCCACACUGGGACUGAGACACGGCCCAGACUCCUACGGGAGGCAGCAGUGGGGAAUAUUGGACAAUGGGCGCAAGCCUGAUCCAACAAUGCCGCGUGAGUGAUGAAGGCCUUCGGGUUGUAAAGCUCUUUCGCACGCGACGAUGAUGACGGUAGCGUGAGAAGAAGCCCCGGCUAACUUCGUGCCAGCAGCCGCGGUAAUACGAAGGGGGCUAGCGUUGUUCGGAAUUACUGGGCGUAAAGGGCGCGUAGGCGGUACUUCAAGUCAGGCGUGAAAGCCCCGGGCUCAACCUGGGAACCGCGCUUGAGACUGGAGAACUAGAGUUCGGGAGAGGAUGGUGGAAUUCCCA
rnacentral:rRNA from 1 species